rnacentral:rRNA from 1 species
UACAGAGGUCCCAAGCGUUGUUCGGAUUCACUGGGCGUAAAGGGUGCGCAGGUGGGUUGGCAAGUUCGAUGUGAAAGCCCCGGGCUUAACCCGGGAAUGGCAUUGGAUACUGUCGAGCUGGAGGUUUGGAGGGGGGACUGGAAUUCUUGGUGUAGCAGUGAAAUGCGUAGAUAUCAAGAGGAACACCAGUGGCGAAGGCGAGUCCCUGGACAACACCUGACACUGAGGCACGAAAGCUAGGGGAGCAAACAGG